rnacentral:misc_RNA from 1 species
GAUGAAGAACGUAGCGAAAUGCGAUAAGUAGUGUGAAUUGCAGAAUUCCGUGAAUCAUCGAAUCUUUGAACGCACAUUGCGCCUUCUGGUAUUCCGGAAGGCAUGCCUGUUCGAGAGUCAUUAACAACCGUUUCGAUCCCUUUCUUUCAGAAAUUACAAAGAGGAAAAGGGUUUGGUUAUGGUGGAGGAGGGAAAGGGAGCGUUUAGCCUGUAAAAAAAGAGGCUGUGUUCCGCCUCCCCCCCAAAAUUGUACAGGCGGUCGUGUGCGCCCACGCAUCGAGGUGUUGUAAAAGCUGCAACGGCACUUUUCACCUGUGCAGUGCGAGAUUGGCCAGCCGGUUUAAAAACCCCUCCAAACAAUCAAAGGUUGACCUCGGAUCAGGUAGGGAUACCCGCUGAACUUAAGCAUAUCAAUAAGCGGAGGA